AUGGGUCAAAGUCAGAGCGGUGGUCAUGGUCCUGGAGGUAGCAAAAGGGGUGCCACAGACAAGAAAAAGACAUAGACCCUCCCGUGCCAACUAGAGUGGGGGAAAGAAGAAAACAAGGGGACCAGAUGCUGCCAGCAAACUGCCACUGGUGACAACUCACACUCAGUGCUGGUUGAAAUUAUUGAAGUUAGGGAGAAUUAAAGACUAUCAUCUCAUGGAGGAAGAAUUCAGUAGAAGUCAGGAACAAAUGAAGCCUUUGGAAGAAAAGCAAGAAGAGGAAAGAUCAAAGGUGGAUGAUCUGAGGGGUCUCCAAUGUCAGCAGGGACCUUGGAAGAGAUCAUUAAUGACAAUCACACCCUUGUGUCUGUAUCUGUGGACUCAGAACACUGCAUCAGCAUUCUUUCAUAUGUGGACAAGGACCUGCUGGAAGCAGGCUGCUCUGUCCUGCUCAACCGCAGGUGCAUGCUGGCUUUUGGGUUCUGAUGGAUGACACGGGUCCCUUGGUCACAGUGAUGAAGGUGGAGAAGGCCCUGCAGGAGGCCUAUGCUGACAAUGGAGGGUUGGGCAACCAAAUCCAGGAAAUUAAGGAAUCUGUGGAACUUCCUCUCACUCAUCCUGAAUUUUAUGAAAAGAUGGGUCUAAAUCCCCCUAAGGAGGUCAUUCUCUGUGGUCCACCUGGCAUAGGUAAAAUCUUAUUAGUCAAAGCAGUAGCAAACCAAGCCUCGGCCACUUGCUUGAGAGUGGUUGGCUCUGAACUUAUACAGAAGUACCUAGGCCAUGGGCCCAAACUCGUUCAGGUUGCUGAACGAGAUGCUGAUGAAUAUGCAGCGUCCAUCAUGGUUAUUGAUGAAAUUGAUGCCACUGGGACAAAAAGAUAGGACUCAAAUUCCGGUGGUGAGAGAGAAAUUCAGCGAACAGUGUUGGAACUGUUGAACCAGUUGGAUGGAUCUGAGUCAAGGGGAGACGUAAAAGUUAUCACAGCCACACACCAAAUAGGAACUUUGGAGCCAGCACUUAUCAGACCAGGCUGCAUUGACAGCAAGAUCGAGUUCCCCUGCCUGGCAAAAAGACCGAGAAGAGCAUCUUUCAGAUCCACACAAGCAGAAUGACGCUGGCUGAUGACGUGACACUGGACAACUUGAUCGUGGCUAGAGAUGACCUCUCUGGUACUGACAUCAAGACAAUGUGUACAGAAGCUGGUCUGAUGGCCUUGAGAGAACAUAGAAUGAAAGUAACUAAUGAAGACACCCAAAAAUGUAAAGAAAAUGUUCUGUAUAAAAAACCAAGAAGGCACCCUUGAGGGGCUCUAUCUCAAGCAAACUACAAUUGCCUUCAAGGAAAUGGUGGGGAAUGCCUGA